rnacentral:rRNA from 1 species
CACCUCUAGCAUUACUAGUAUUAGAGGCACUGCCUGCCCAGUGACAUUAGUUAAACGGCCGCGGUAUCCCGACCGUGCAAAGGUAGCAUAAUCAUUUGUUCUUUAAAUAGGGACUUGUAUGAACGGCCACACGAGGGUUCUACUGUCUCUUGCUUCCAAUCAGUGAAAUUGACCUCCCCGUGCAGAGGCGGGGAUACACAAAUAAGACGAGAAGACCCUAUGGAGCUUUAAUUAACUAACUCAAAGAAAAUAUAAAUAACCGCCAAGGGAUAAUAAUCUUCUACCUGAGUUAGCAAUUUCGGUUGGGGUGACCUCGGAGAACAGAAAAACCUCCGAGUGACUAAAAUCUAGACUUACCAGUCAAAAUGUAGUGUCACUUAUUGAUCCAAAAUAUUUGAUCAACGGAACAAGUUACCCUAGGGAUAACAGCGCAAUCCUAUUCAAGAGUUCAUAUCGACAAUAGGGUUUACGACCUCGAUGUUGGAUCAGGACACCCCAAUGGUGCAGCCGCUAUUAAAGGUUCGUUUGUUCAACGAUUAAAGUCCU